rnacentral:rRNA from 1 species
UGGGGAAUUUUGCGCAAUGGGGGAAACCCUGACGCAGCAACGCCGCGUGGAGGAUGAAGUCUCUUGGGACGUAAACUCCUUUCGAUUGGGAAGAUUAUGACGGUACCAAUAGAAGAAGCCCCGGCUAACUUCGUGCCAGCAGCCGCGGUAAUACGAGGGGGGCAAGCGUUGUUCGGAAUUAUUGGGCGUAAAGGGUGCGUAGGCGGUUUGGUAAGUCUUGUGUGAAAUCUUCGGGCUCAACUCGAAGUCUGCACGAGAAACUGCCGGGCUUGAGUGUGGGAGAGGUGAGUGGAAUUUCCGGUGUAGCGGUGAAAUGCGUAGAUAUCGGAAGGAACACCUGUGGCGAAAGCGGCUCACUGGACCAUAACUGACGCUGAUGCACGAAAGCUAGGGGAGCAAACAGGAUUAGAUACCCUGGUAGUCCUAGCCCUAAACGAUGAUCGCUUGGUGUGACGGGUACCCAAUCCCGCCGUGCCGUAGCUAACGCGUUAAGCGAUCCGCCUGGGGAGUACGGUCGCAAGGCUG